CCCGCAGGACGACCUGCCGGUGCGCACUUUUUCGUUCGGGGACGGCCCCA
rnacentral:ncRNA from 1 species